rnacentral:rRNA from 1 species
UACGGGGGGGGCAAGCGUUGUUCGGAAUUACUGGGCGUAAAGCGUGCGCAGGCGGCUUCGCAAGUCAGACGUGAAAUCCCCGGGCUUAACCUGGGAAUGGCGUUUGAAACUACGGAGCUGGAGUGUGGCAGAGGGAGGUAGAAUUCCACGUGUAGCGGUGAAAUGCGUAGAUAUGAUGGAGGAAUACCGAUGGCGAAGGCAGCCUCCUGGGCCAACACUGACGCUCAUGCACGAAAGCGUGGGGAGCAAACAGG